UCCCGGCCCUACCGCGAGUAGAACGCGCGGCACCUCCGCUGUGGGAGACAUCCCGACGGUGGGAUCCCAAGUGCCAUUCUGAACGGGAUGGCUUUGCGUUAGUGUAAAGAGCUUUUCGAAUAAGAACUGGGCAAGACCGAGUGCCACCCGCCGCGGUAACACCGGCAGCUCUCGUGGUAGCAGUUUUUAUUGGGCCUAAAGCGUCCGUACCCCGUUUAAUAAGUCUCUGGUGAAAUCCUGCACCUUAACAGUGGGAAUUGCUGGAGAUACUAUUACACAUGAUAUCAGGAGAGGUUAGAGGUACUGCCAGGGCAGAGGUGAAAUUCUGUUAUCCUGUGAGGACCGCCCGUCGCCAAGGCCUCUGACUGGAACGAUUCUGACUGUGAGGGAAGAAAGCUAGGGGCGCGAACCGGAUUAGAUACCCAGGUAGUCCUACCUGUAAACGAUCCGCACUUGGUGUUGGGGUGGCUUUGAGCUGUCCCAGCGCCGAACGGAAACUGUUAAGUCCACAGCCUGAGAAGUACGGCCUCAAGACUGAAACUUAAAAGAAUUGCCUCGCGAGCACCACAACUCGUGGAGCCUGCGGUUUAAUUGGAGUCAACACCGG
rnacentral:rRNA from 1 species